UCUGCCUUAUCGGCAAGCGGUCUGGCUAGAGUGCCCAACUUAAUGCUGGCAACUAACCACAAGGGUUGCGCUCGUUGCGGGACUUAACCCAACAUCUCACGACACGAGCUGACGACAGCCAUGCAGCACCUGUCACCGCGUCCCCGAAGGGAUUUCACUGCUUUCACAGAUAUGCGCGGGAUGUCAAGCCUAGGUAAGGUUUUGCGCGUUGCAUCGAAUUAAACCACAUAAUCCACCGCUUGUGCGGGCCCCCGUCAAUUUCUUUGAGUUUUAACCUUGCGGCCGUACUCCCCAGGCGGGAUACUUAACGCGUUAGCUUCGACACCGAGAGGGUAAGAACUCCCGACAUCUAGUAUCCAUCGUUUACGGUGUGGACUAC
rnacentral:misc_RNA from 1 species